UACGUAGGUGGCAAGCGUUGUCCGGAUUUAUUGGGUUUAAAGGGUGCGUAGGCGGCCUUGUAAGUCAGUGGUGAAAUAUCUCAGCUUAACUGAGAGGGUGCCAAUGAUACUGCAGGGCUUGAGUACAGAUGAGGUAGGCGGAAUUGACGGUGUAGCGGUGAAAUGCUUAGAUAUCGUCAAGAACACCUAUAGCGAAGGCAGCUUACUAAGCUGUAACUGACGCUGAGGCACGAAAGUGUGGGGAUCAAACAGG
rnacentral:rRNA from 1 species